rnacentral:rRNA from 1 species
GAUGAACGCUGGCGGCGUGCUUAACACAUGCAAGUCGAACGGAAAGGCCAGUGCUUGCACUGGUGCUCGAGUGGCGAACGGGUGAGUAACACGUGGGUGAUCUGCCCUGCACUUUGGGAUAAGCCUGGGAAACUGGGUCUAAUACCAGAUAGGACCAUGCUUUGGAUGGUGUGGUGGAAAGUUUUUUCGGUGUGGGAUGAGCUUGCGGCCUAUCAGCUUGUUGGUGGGGUAAUGGCCUACCAAGGCGUCGACGGGUAGCCGGCCUGAGAGGGUGUACGGCCACAUUGGGACUGAGAUACGGCCCAGACUCCUACGGGAGGCAGCAGUGGGGAAUAUUGCACAAUGGGCGCAAGCCUGAUGCAGCGACGCCGCGUGGGGGAUGACGGCCUUCGGGUUGUAAACUCCUUUCGCAACUGACGAAGCUUUUUGUGACGGUAGGUUGAGGAGAAGCACCGGCUAACUACGUG